UACGAGGGGGGCGAGCGUUGUUCGGAAUUAUUGGGCGUAAAGGGUGCGUAGGCGGUUUGGUAAGUCUCGUGUGAAAUCUCCGGGCUCAACUCGGAGCCUGCACGAGAAACUGCCGGGCUUGAGUGUGGGAGAGGUGAGUGGAAUUCCUGGUGUAGCGGUGAAAUGCGUAGAUAUCAGGAGGAACACCAGUGGCGAAGGCGGCUCACUGGCCCGAUACUGACGCUGAGGCACGAAAGCGUGGGGAGCAAACAGG
rnacentral:rRNA from 1 species